CCGGCUACAUCAGCUCAGCAUUCCCCUUUGGUGCUGCCCAGAGGUAUGGAAACAAAGUUUCAGAGCACACCCUGGGCACGGUCCACACCCACAGCGCCCACUUCAAGGUGGACCUGGAUGUAGCAGGACUUGGUGGCCUGGGUGACAGCUGGUUUUCUGCAUAUCCCACAUGCAGAGGACAUUCCUAACACAGUGACUGUGGGGAACAGCGUGGGCUUCUUCCUCCGACCCUACAACUUCUUUGACGAAGACCCCUCCUUCUACUCUGCCGACUCCAUC
rnacentral:lncRNA from 1 species